GCUGGCGGCGUGCCUAAUACAUGCAAGUCGAGCGAACAGAUAAGGAGCUUGCUCCUUUGACGUUAGCGGCGGACGGGUGAGUAACACGUGGGUAACCUACCUAUAAGACUGGGAUAACUUCGGGAAACCGGAGCUAAUACCGGAUAAUAUUUCGAACCGCAUGGUUCGAUAGUGAAAGAUGGUUUUGCUAUCACUUAUAGAUGGACCCGCGCCGUAUUAGCUAGUUGGUAAGGUNNNNGCUUACCAAGGCAACGAUACGUAGCCGACCUGAGAGGGUGAUCGGCCACACUGGAACUGAGACACGGUCCAGACUCCUACGGGAGGCAGCAGUAGGGAAUCUUCCGCAAUGGGCGAAAGCCUGACGGAGCAACGCCGCGUGAGUGAUGAAGGUCUUCGGAUCGUAAAACUCUGUUAUUAGGGAAGAACAUACGUGUAAGUAACUGUGCAC
rnacentral:rRNA from 1 species